AUACAUUCCCCUAAAAAAUGGUCAAUUCGAGCUAGGCUAGCACCAGAUUGGAGAUGCCUUAUCUGAAAAAGGCACCUUUUGCACGAGGAAUGGGGAUGAGAUGAUGCCCUUUAACAAAGACAGGCACAGAGAGAAAGAGAUCUUGAAAGAUGGGAUUCUUAAAUCUUGAAUUUUCCAUCUUUUCCUAACAUGUCGGGCUACAGAAUUUGCCUCCAUGCAGAUUGCUUGCUUUCCUAGACCCC
rnacentral:misc_RNA from 1 species